CUAACCUAACCUAACAAAACCCCAAACAGUCACUAUAGGUCUUGACUCAGAAAAUUCAUAUAUGCUUCCUUACUAAUGAGACUUUCUAUACAACAAAGUGAGGUCAUUCUUUGUUGAUUUAUACCAUAAGGUGCUGGCUAUCAUGUGUUUGAAGAUACCCUAAACUUAACAUAACAAAACCCCAAACAGUCACUAUAGGUCUUGACUCAGAAAAUUCAUAUAUGCUUCCUUACUAAUGAGACUUUCUAUACAGCAAAUUGAGGUCAUUCUGUGUUGAUUUAUACCAUAAGGUCCUGGCUAUCAUGUGUUUGAAGAUACCCUAAACUUAACCUAACCUGACCUAACAAAACCCCAAACAGUCACUAUAGGUCUUGACUCAGGAAAUUCAUAUAUGCUUCCUUACUAAUGAGACUUUCUAUACAACAAAGUGAGGUCAUUCUUUGUUGAUUUAUACCAUAAGGUGCUGGCUGUCAUGUGUUUGAAGAUACCCUAAACUUAACCUAACCUAACCUAACAAAACCCCAAACAGUCACUAUAGGUCUUGACUCAGAAAAUUCAUAUAUGCUUCCUUACUAAUGAGACUUUCUAUACAACAAAGUGAGGUCAUUCUGUGUUGAUUUAUACCAUAAGGUGCUGGCUAUCAUGUGUUUGAAGAUACCCUAAACUUAACAUAACAAAACCCCAAACAGUCACUAUAGGUCUUGACUCAGAAAAUUCAUAUAUGCUUCCUUACUAAUGAGACUUUCUAUACAACAAAGUGAGGUCAUUCUGUGUUGAUUUAUACCAUAAGGUGCUGGCUGUCAUGUGUUUGAAGAUACCCUAAACUUAACCUAACAAAACCCCAAACAGUCACUAUAGGUCUUGACUCAGAAAAUUCAUAUAUGCUUCCUUACUAAUGAGACUUUCUAUACAACAAAGUGAGGUCAUUCUUUGUUGAUUUAUACCAUAAGGUGCUGGCUAUCAUGUGUUUGAAGAUACCCUAAACUUAACCUAACCUAACCUAACAAAACCCCAAACAGUCACUAUAGGUCUUGACUCAGAAAAUUCAUAUAUGCUUCCUUACUAAUGAGACUUUCUAUACAACAAAGUGAGGUCAUUCUUUGUUGAUUUAUACCAUAAGGUGCUGGCUAUCAUGUGUUUGAAGAUACCCUAAACUUAACCUAACAAAGCCCCAAACAGUCACUAUAGGUCUUGACUCAGAAAAUUCAUAUAUGCUUCCUUACUAAUGAGACUUUCUAUACAACAAAGUGAGGUCAUUCUGUGUUGAUUUAUACCAUAAGGUGCUGGCUAUCAUGUGUUUGAAGAUACCCUAAACUUAACCUAACCUAACCUAACAAAACCCCAAACAGUCACUAUAGGUCUUGACUCAGAAAAUUCAUAUAUGCUUCCUUACUAAUGAGACUUUCUAUACAACAAAGUGAGGUCAUUCUUUGUUGAUUUAUACCAUAAGGUGCUGGCUAUCAUGUGUUUAAAGAUAC